rnacentral:rRNA from 1 species
ACACUCCUGCGGGAGGCAGCAGUGGGGAAUUUUGGACAAUGGGCGAAAGCCUGAUCCAGCAAUGCCGCGUGCAGGAUGAAGGCCUUCGGGUUGUAAACUGCUUUUGUACGGAACGAAAAAGCUCCUUCUAAUACAGGGGGCCCAUGACGGUACCGUAAGAAUAAGCACCGGCUAACUACGUGCCAGCAGCCGCGGUAAUACGUAGGGUGCGAGCGUUAAUCGGAAUUACUGGGCGUAAAGCGUGCGCAGGCGGUUAUGUAAGACAGAUGUGAAAUCCCCGGGCUCAACCUGGGAACUGCAUUUGUGACUGCAUGGCUAGAGUACGGUAGAGGGGGAUGGAAUUCCGCGUGUAGCAGUGAAAUGCGUAGAUAUGCGGAGGAACACCGAUGGCGAAGGCAAUCCCCUGGACCUGUACUGACGCUCAUGCACGAAAGCGUGGGGAGCAAACAGGAUUAGAUACCCUUGUAGUCCCA